rnacentral:rRNA from 1 species
GGGUGAACGCUGGCAGUGUGCCUAAUGCAUGCAAGUCGAGCGGUCUCGGCGCAAGCCGGGGCAGCGGCGAAAGGCUGAGCAAUACACAGGGAACCUGCCCUAUGGUGGGGGACAACCCCGGGAAACUGGGGCUAAUACCGCAUACGUCCUUCUAUCACAAGGUGGAAGGAGAAAGCCGCAAGGCGCCGAAGGAUGGUCCUGUGUCCCAUCAGGUAGUUGGCGGGGUAGCGGCCCACCAAGCCGACGACGGGUAGCUGGUCUGAGAGGACGGCCAGCCAGAGGGGGACUGAGACACGGCCCCCACUCCUACGGGAGGCAGCAGCAAGGAAUCUUGGGCAAUGGGCGAAAGCCUGACCCAGCGACACUGCGUGGGGGAAGAAGGCCUUCGGGUCGUAAACCCCUUUUCCUGGGGAAGAGUAAGGACGGUACCCAGGGAAUAAGUCCCGGCUAACUACGUGCCAGCAGCCGCGGUAAGACGUAGGGGACGAGCGUUACCCGGAAUUACUGGGCGUAAAGGGCGUGUAGGCGGCGGGGCAUGUCCCGUGUGAAAUUGAAGGGCUUAACUCUUCAACGUCGCGGGAAACGGUCUCGCUUGAGGGCCAGUAGAGGCGGGUGGAAUUCCCGGUGGAGCGGUGAUAUGCGUAGAGAUCGGGAGGAACACCGGUGGCGAAGGCGGCCCGCUGGGCUGUCCCUGACGCUGAGGCGCGAAAGCGUGGGGAGCAAACCGGAUUAGAUACCCGGGUAGUCCACGCCUUAAACGGUGGAUGCUAGGUAUGGGAGGUAUCGACCCCUUCCGUGCCGCAGUUUACGCGUUAAGCAUCCCGCCUGGGGAGUACGGCCGCAAGGCUAAAACUCAAAGGAAUUGACGGGGGCCCGCACAAGCGGCGGAGCGUGUGGUUUAAUUCGAUGCAAAGCGAAGGACCUCACCUGGGUUGGACAUGCCACAAGUAGGAACCUGAAAGGGGGACGACUCGUCAAGGCGAGAGGUGGCGAAGGUGCUGCAUGGCUGUCGUCAGCUCGUGUCGUGAGAUGUUGGGUUAAGUCCCGCAACGAGCGCAACCCCUGUCCUGUGUUGAGUUCUCACAGGAGACUGCCCCCCACAAGGGGGAGGAAGGUGGGGAUGACGUCAAGUCCGCAUGGCCCUCAUGCCCAGGGCAACACACACGCUACAAUGGGUAGGACAAAGGGUUGCCAACCCGCAAGGGGGAGCUAAUCCCAUCAAACCUACCCCCAGUUGGGAUCGGAGGCUGCAACUCGCCUCCGUGAACUCGGAGUCGCUAGUAACCGCAGGUCACGCACACUGCGGUGAAUACGUUCUCGGGCCUUGUACACACCGC